rnacentral:rRNA from 1 species
UACGGAGGGUGCAAGCGUUGUCCGGAUUUAUUGGGUUUAAAGGGUGCGUAGGCGGCUAAUUAAGUCAGCGGUGAAAUUCCAGAGCUCAACUCUGUGAACUGCCAUUGAUACUGGUUAGCUUGAGUACAGAUGAGGUAGGCGGAAUUGACAGUGUAGCGGUGAAAUGCUUAGAUAUUGUCAAGAACACCUAUUGCGAAGGCAGCUUACUAAACUGUAACUGACGCUGAGGCACGAAAGCGUGGGGAUCAAACAGG